AGUGAACGCUGGCGGCGUGCCUAAUACAUGCAAGUCGAACGGACAAGUAAGAGCUUGCUCUUAUGAGUUAGUGGCGCACGGGUGAGUAAUGUAUAGCUAAUCUGCCCUACACUAGAGGACAACAGUUGGAAACGGCUGCUAAUACUCUAUACUCCUGUCUUACAUAAGUUAGAUAGGGAAAGUUUUUCGGUGUAGGAUGAGGCUAUAUUGUAUCAGCUAGUUGGUGAGGUAAUGGCUCACCAAGGCUAUGACGCAUAACUGGUCUGAGAGGAUGAUCAGUCACACUGGAACUGAGACACGGUCCAGACUCCUACGGGAGGCAGCAGUAGGGAAUAUUGCUCAAUGGGGGAAACCCUGAAGCAGCAACGCCGCGUGGAGGAUGACACUUUUCGGAGCGUAAACUCCUUUUGUUAGGGAAGAAUAAUGACGGUACCUAACGAAUAAGCACCGGCUAACUCCGUGCCAGCAGCCGCGGUAAUACGGAGGGUGCAAGCGUUACUCGGAAUCACUGGGCGUAAAGGACGCGUAGGCGGAUUAUCAAGUCUCUUGUGAAAUCCUAUGGCUUAACCAUAGAACUGCUUGGGAAACUGGUAAUCUAGAGUGAGGGAGAGGCAGAUGGAAUUGGUGGUGUAGGGGUAAAAUCCGUAGAGAUCACCAGGAAUACCCAUUGCGAAGGCGAUCUGCUGGAACUCAACUGACGCUAAUGCGUGAAAGCGUGGGGAGCAAACAGG
rnacentral:rRNA from 1 species